rnacentral:rRNA from 1 species
CAGUAGCCGCGGGAAUACAGAGGGUGCAAGCGUUAAUCGGAAUUACUGGGCGUAAAGCGCGCGUAGGUGGUUUGUUAAGUUGGAUGUGAAAUCCCCGGGCUCAACCUGGGAACUGCAUCCAAAACUGGCAAGCUAGAGUAUGGUAGAGGGUGGUGGAAUUUCCUGUGUAGCGGUGAAAUGCGUAGAUAUAGGAAGGAACACCAGUGGCGAAGGCGACCACCUGGACUGAUACUGACACUGAGGUGCGAAAGCGUGGGGAGCAAACAGGAUUAGAUACCCCCGUAGUCCCUGUCUCUUAUAC